UAAUAAUAUGGUAUCACCAUCCCUCCCUAAUCCUGAAUUCCCCUUUAACAGAAUUGUCUUAAAUGUUGAUUUGCUUCUGUACACCGUUUUCCAAGUCAUGAAGAUUUCAAGUUUAGCAUACUCAAGGUGCUUCUCUUGGGAAAUUUAGAAAAAGAGGGAACUAGGCUUGGGAAAUGGGAAAUAACACAGAGUGGUUUAAAGAGCAGGAGUAGAAGCUUCUAGAGAACAGUGUUAGGAAAGAGACCUCUAGCACCUAUAGUGGUGAGAGAGCCAAAAUUGGAUUAUCCCUGGGACCCCAGGAAACAGGGUUUUGUCCUAAGAAGUAACUGAUACCUUGAGCCCAUUUUGUAAGUAAAUAGGAUAUAUUCUGAAUUCAUUUCAGUCUCAAGAAUUAAAAAACUAUCUACUCUGAAAAUCAUUUGUUGCAAGUCUUAUCCAAAUAAUUUGUUAAGAAACUACUCGGAACAAAGAAUAAAGGCAAAUAUCUUGAAAGUUAAAUUCCUCCCCUAACCUUUAAAAAA
rnacentral:lncRNA from 1 species